CUGGCUUAAAACUGGAAACGGAAAUACCAUCUUACUUUUAUAAAGAGGUCAUAAAUUCACUUGCAAUAUUUUUAACAAGAAAACAAUACAGACGUUACACUUACAUACAUCAUAGAGGAAGAAAAGUAUGAGUGACAAGAAGUACUCUCUGAACCUUCAUCUUAAAAACCGAAACCCAGCAAUAUAGUUUAACAGCGUAUAAAAGCCACCUUAGUUUUCUAUUGUAAAUUGUUGAUUCUGAACCUUGGAAGUAUGUCUGCUUGUUCCACAGGAAAUAACCACCUCCUUAGAGUGUUGAAGAAGCGGCGGAUACGUCUCAUGAAAACGUGUUCCUCUCUCAGGUAAACCCAGUAUAGCAAUUCACCAGCUGAUAUCAAUAAACACAGCACAUAUAGAACAGGCCUAAUGGAGUCCGGGAAGAAGAUCGAUGACAGUGAUGUAACUGCCGUAUUGCCAAAGAACACCAUACAUUGGAAAGGGUAUGGUGGGGGGUUACCAUGUAAAUUUUGAGGCCUCAGAUUCAUGCCAUAUGCCAAAAAAGCAUAGACUAAGAUGCUAAUAAUUGCCAGAUUCGUCGUUGUGGAGUGAGUUAUAAACGGACUUUCGUCUAUUCCGUGGUUUUUCACCUGCAAUAAAACAAACAAUGAUGUAAGUCAUUGUAAACCCUAGACGAAGGAUAUACAAAAUGGAUGCUUCACCUGCAAGAAUCCAAGUAACGUAGCAACAAUGAACUCAACACUGUUACCAUUGGAAGUGAUUGUAAACCCUAGAUGAAGGAUAUACAAAAUCUGGAAUCUAAUAUAGACACUGGCAGCACAAAAUUGUGCCCAGGACAAGAAGUUGAAUAAAUC
rnacentral:lncRNA from 1 species